CUGAGCCAAACCAGCCAGGGCCAAUGGUUGAUUUUUAUAUAGGCAGACAUCAAAUUAAGGAAAGUUUUCUGCCCUUCUAAGGACUGAAGUUUGAGUAUACCAGUAAAUCCUUUCUUUGCCCUGUUUUAUCUGUCAUCAGUCCUAGUGAAGCCUCAGUUCUUGCUGGCAGUAAGAAUGUUCUUUUGCUUCUCGAUUCAGAAGCCUGCAAUGCAUCUGCUAUCUAUCUCAUGAAGUCAUAAGCCUCUUUAAAUCGACAUUCAGACCUCCCACUGCAUUCUCAGGCUGAAUGUGUUUGUUUUUCCUCCAGGUGAUUUGGCUAUUCCUUAAAGUACACACAGUGCCUAGAAGAGCAUUCCCACGAACAAUGUUUGCUUUGGCACUUUGCUCUUCCGUUUUGCCUGGUUUCAGAGUAUUAAGGAAUGACUUUAGUGUUCUUUUAGGUGCAGUAAGUGAUUUUUGAUAGCAAAGUGAUAAAAGGAAUGAUUACCUUUUCACAUUUAGGUAACUUGAUUAGAAGAUGGGGAGGUUCUAGCUAGGUUUUGGAUUUGAGAACUGCAAAACUAGCAGCAGAAUUCUGACUACAGGAGCAGGCUUAAAAAGUUGAGUAUUUAUGUGGAGUGUACCUUGAGUUAAAUAACAGUUGAAUGCACAAAUUUCUUACAUAACAGUUCUUAACCCUAUUUAAAGAAUUGCAAAAGUAUUUUUUAUUUAAUAGUGCAUGAAUUUGGAUGACCCAUUUUUGAUUGUUCAGAAUAUUUAACUA